rnacentral:lncRNA from 1 species
GAGUGAGGAGGGGAGGGGGAUAAGAGGAGAGAAGAUGAGAGGAGUGAGGAGGGGAGGGGGAUAAGAGGAGUGAAGAUGAGAGGAGGGGUUAGAGGCUGCUACCAGCUCUUACAGUCUCAUGUCAGAAUUAGACGUUCAUCCAUGUUUCUCAAAUGUGAAAAUUUGUAGUGUUUAAGGUUGAGUUUAAGCAUUAAAUCAACAUUUUUAAGGUUAGGGUUAAGAUCAGGCAUUAACUCCAAAUUCUUAAGGUUAGGCAUUAACUCUGAAUGGUUCAGGGAAGGGUUAAGGUUUGGAAUAGGCUCAAAACAAAAAUAUCAACAACAACUUUAUAUCGCUGGAUUUUAACUUGCUAACGCCCAUCCUCCAUCCCCGUUCACAACAUCGUUGCAUAACUGAAACCUACUUGAAGUUAACAGCACUCACUGUUGCUCCUUGUGGCCGGUUUCCAUGUCAUCUCCCAACGGUUAUCACAGGUGACCUGACAGGAGGACGAGGCAGAGGCAGUAGUGAUAUGUCGGAGAAAUAGGAAGUGAGGCUGGGGCUGUAAUAGUAAAUGUCAAGAAGACUAUCUGUCUCUCUGUCCUUUCCUCUGACCUCUUCUCUCUCUGUCUCUCUCUGUCUGUCUUCCUUUCCCCUCUCUAAGCACCUCAUCAGUAGACGUCAAUAAUGUGCUCUGCCAGAACACAGCCUCAGUGUUCUAUUCUGCAUUGUAUUGCAGCCAAUCCUGUGGUUAUCACUUAUGGGUUUGAAUAUGUGUUCAAACUGCUCUUCGUGCAUGGACGGUACUCUGUGGUGCGAACUACUUUGAGUGUGGACCAUGCUGAUCAAGUGUGCGUAUGUGUGUCUGUGUGCGUGUGUGUGUGUUUGUGUGUGUGUGUGUGCGUGUCAGCCACCUCAUGUAUCAGCCAGCAGCUCCUCCACCCAAGGGAAAUGAGCCAACCCAUGCACAAGACCACCACACACACACACACACACACACACACACACACACACACACACACACACACACACACACACACACACACACACACACACACACACACACACACACACACACACACACACACACACACACACACACACAUAUACACACACACACACACACACACAAAGAAAGAAAUCCCCAGCACCAUUGCUUUUCAGAAGACAGGAGGUAUAUUGCCAGAUGGUGAAGAGACAGGUAUGUACAUACUAAGACAGUUCACUCUCUUCUAGAGCUGUGUAUGUACAUACUAAGACAGUUCACACAAUAUCUCUUCUAGAGCUGUGUAUGUACAUACUAAGACAGUUCACUCUCUUCUAGAGCUGUGUAUGUACAUACUAAGACAGUUCACUCUCUUCUAGAGCUGUGUAUGUACAUACUAAGACACUUCACACAGUAUCUCUUCUAGAGCUGUGUAUGUACAUACUAAGACAGUUCACUCUCUUCUAGAGCUGUGUAUGUACAUACUAAGACAGUUCACUCUCUUCUAGAGCUGUGUAUGUACAUACUAAGACAGUUCACUCUCUUCUAGAGCUGUGUAUGUACAUACUAAGACAGUUCACUCUCUUCUAGAGCUGUGUAUGUGCAUACUAAGACAGUUCACUCUCUUCUAGAGCUGUGUAUGUACAUACUAAGACAGUUCACACAGUUCAUCUUCUAGAGCUGUGUAUGUACAUACUAAGACAGUUCACUCUCUUCUAGAGCUGUGUACGUACAUACUAAGACAGUUCACACAAUAUCUCUUCUAGAGCUGUGUAUGUACGUACUAAGACAGUUCACUCUCUUCUAGAGCUGUGUAUGUACAUACUAAGACAGUUCACUCUCUUCUAGAGCUGUGUACGUACAUACUAAGACAGGUCACUCUAUUCUAGAGCUGUGUACGUACAUACUAAGACAGGUCACUCCUCUCUCAACCCCAGUGCUGACUGCCCAUCUGGGAUGUAACCUUUGACUUAAUGGUUGGUGUACUUCCUGUGUCACCUUCCUGCACUGGCACGUACAGAUUGACUUCCUGCCUGACAGGAUGUGGAGGUGGCAGCGGGGCAGGCAAGCAGUCACACACACACACACACACACACACACACACACACACACACACACACACACACACACACACACACACACACACACACACACACACACACAAGCACACAAACAUACACACACACACACACACACACACACACACAGAGAGAGACAGAGAGACAGUCACACACUGGAUGGAAUGGAAAACAGAGGGCUAGGGAGAGAACACUCUCUAACGUUAUCUCUCCAUGUCUCCUGCUCACUCUCUCUCACUAUUUUUGGAUACAUUUUCCAUACCUUUCUCUUUAUAUAUCCUUUCUGCUUCCUCACUCUUAUCAUUUCUCCAUCCUCUUACUCCUACUGAUCAUCUCUCUUUCUUUUAAGUGUCAUCUCAGUCUCCUCCCUCUCUCUUCUCAGUAAAUGGAAGAUGUGCCUGUUUGAAUCGCUCCCAUUGUUUUAUUUGAUUUCUUACUGGUUUCCUGGCCACAGUCA